rnacentral:rRNA from 1 species
ACUCCUACGGGAGGCAGCAGUGGGGAAUAUUGCACAAUGGGCGCAAGCCUGAUGCAGCCAUGCCGCGUGUAUGAAGAAGGCCUUCGGGUUGUAAAGUACUUUCAGCAGUGAGGAAGGGUGAGUUAAUAGUACAUGCUUCGUUUGAUCGUUUAGCUGCAGAAGAAGCACCGGCUAACUCCGUGCCAGCAGCCGCGGUAAUACGGAGGGUGCGAGCGUUAAUCGGAAUUACUGGGCGUAAAGCGCAUGCAGGUGGUUUGUUAAGUCAGAUGUGAAAGCCCGGGGCUCAACCUCGGAAU